UCACUUGUCCCUUAAAUGAGGACGCGUAUGAAAGGCAACAUGAGAGAAGACCUGUCUCCUAAGGACUGCCAAUGAAAUUGAACUACCAGUUCAAAAGCUGGUAUUAAAAAGCAAGACAAAAAGACCCUGUGGAACUUUAAUUAUCUGCUUUACACAAUAUAACCAGUAAUUUCAGUUGGGACAACUUUAGAAAAAAUAAACUUCCUAUUUACCAAGACUGACUAGUCCAUAACCAUCACGACCCAGUAAUACUGAUUAACGAAACAAGCUACCCCAGGGAUAACAGCGCCACCUUCUCAAAGAGUCCAUAUCAACAAGAAGAUCUACGACCUCGAUGUUGGAUCGGGGUACCCAGACGGUG
rnacentral:rRNA from 1 species